UCCCUGGUGGUCCAGGUGCUAAGACUGCACGCUCCCAAUGCAGGGGUAUUGGGUUCCAUCCAUGGUCAGGGAACUAGAUCCCACAUAUCACAACUAAAAAUCCUGAGUGCCACCACUAACACUCUGUGUAGCCAAAUAAAUUUUAAAAAAUAAAUAUUAAAAGAAAAAGUCACAGAGAGAGUUGGGGGCAACGCCUUGGACCAGAGACCAUCCUGCCAAAACCUUCCUGGUAGCCUGCCUCAGGUGGAGGCCCCUUACGUCCUGUCCCCCUGUCCCCUCUUCCUCCCAGAAGACCACACCCACCUCGAGGCACCAGCAUUGCACUGAUGUCCUUUUUUUUUUUUAAUAUUUAUUUUUAUUUAUUUGGCUGUGUUGGGUCUUAGCUGGGGCAUGUGGGGUCUAGUUCCCUGACCAGGGAUCGAACCUGGCUGGCCUGCAUUGGGAGCUCAGAGUCUUAGCCACUGGACCACUAGGGAAGUCCCUGUGGGUGUCUCCUGAGGAGGCCUCUCUGCCUUCUCGGAGCCCCCACAACCCUCCCCUGUGGCUGGGGUGCUCCCCACCACCACACUCAUCUACAAGUUCAUGCACAGGGUCAGCCCACUGCCCUCUCCCCUGCCGGGACACCCAUCUCCUUUCUUCCUUAACAGCGUUGGAUUUUGCAGUGGGGACCAAUGAGAUUUCAAGGGCAGCCACAUCAGCCCCACCCCCACCCUGAUGCCUGUGAGGGGACCAGUGUACAGGGUAGCCCAAAGUGCAGACCAUCCAAUAUUCAUCAGUGCAUAGUGGAUACACGAAAAGUGCUCCCUCCACAGCUGGGAGCAUCACUCAACCAUGAAAAGGAGAGAAGCCCUGACACUUGCCACCACGUGGACCGAUCCUGAGAACACGAUGCUCAAUGAGAGAGGCAGACACAGAAGAACACACAGGGUGUGACUCCACUGAUGGGAAACGUCCAGAACAGGCAGGUCCACAGACACAGAGAGUGGGUUCCUGGUUGUAAGGGGCUGGGGGAGGGGAUGGGGUUGAUGCUAAUGAGGAUGGG
rnacentral:lncRNA from 1 species